GUGGGAUAUCCUCCCUUCUAGCUGAUGGUUUAGCUGUUGCUGUACAGGCAAUUCUAGCAUGUGCCUUUGCUGAGAAAAAUUUUGACAAAGUAACGGCUGAAGGAUCAAAAGGAGAGGAAAAAGCAGGAAAUUAGGACUCAUAAUGCUCAGUUGCAUGUUGCAGUAUCCGUGGCAGGCCUAGUUGCUGCCGUUGCGGCCAUUGCAGCUUCAAUAGAGUGUACAUUGUAGAAUCAAUAGAGUGUACAUAGCAGCCAUAAGAAAGUGUACAUAGCUGCCAUAAAGUUCUACACUUACCAUAUGAGUGGUCUCUAGCUUAGCUUGCAUUGUUCAAGAAAUUUUAGAAAAUUCUAAGGAUACUACUCUACUAAUGUUUGUGAGACAUGAAUGUAAUUUUCACUCCAUAUGGAUGUACAAGUGUAUAUUAUUGAAUAAGUAGAGUUAUAUGCAAAGAAAUAUUAUAUAGAUAAUCUAUUUUUCAUAUAUCUCAAAGAAGAAAAAAAUAA